UACAGAGGGUGCAAGCGUUGUUCGGAAUUAUUGGGCGUAAAGCGCGUGUAGGCGGCUUGGCAAGUUAGAUGUGAAAGUCCUGGGCUUAACCUGGGGACUGCAUUUGAUACUGAUUGGCUUGAAUGCAGGAGAGGAUAGCGGAAUUCCCAGUGUAGAGGUGAAAUUCGUAGAUAUUGGGAAGAACACCGGUGGCGAAGGCGGCUAUCUGGACUGUGAUUGACGCUGAGGCGCGAAAGCGUGGGGAGCAAACAGG
rnacentral:rRNA from 1 species